GAGUGUAUUGUUUCACAGUCGAUAAACUUUUUGCUUAGGUAAAUUGCAUGCUCUUUUCGACAAGACUCGUCAUGCUGACCUAAUACACACCUCAUAGACCCCUUGAGGGCUGUCAAGUACCAGAUUAAUAAUCAUCCCCAUGGGAAGCAUCAGAAUCAGAGGUUCCUGCUACUCAUUCUCUUAUCUUUCCAUGCCCCUUGGCAGUCAUCAUUCCACCUGACCAUUUGAUUUCUUUCUUUUUUGGUUUUUGGUUCAGGCGUUUCUUGCAUUGUUCUUUUUUUUUUUUUUUUUAGCAGGAUCAACCUCGAUUCCUCUUUCAUUCUCAACAUGCCUCGGCAGCUUGCCGGACAGCACUCCAUAAGUGCACUGAUUCGAACUCAACUGUAUGAGUUAUCUCAAACCGGUCAAACAACGUGAUCAAGUCCACCGGAUGCCCCUCUUCUGCUAGGGACUUUGCCAUCAUGUCAUCAACAUGGCAUUCGCUUUCACGAUGAGUCAUAUCAUGAAACAAAGUCACCGUAGCCCUUUGAUCCGUGGCACCGGCCUU
rnacentral:lncRNA from 1 species